GUGGCGUUCGUACGGAGCCCCCGGUCGUCUCACAGACUAUUGACCCGUACACCACUAAUCCGCUGCCACCAACCAGGUCCUCCCUGGUAAAAUCACUUCAGUCUCAGUCAGGUUCUCAAGUAAAUAAAGAAGAGUGUAUUUUAUUUCAGACACAAACAAACUUUUACGGCACUCCAAACAUUGUUACUCUUUACUUUCUUAGUCUUAUUUCCCACUCUCUAUCUCUUCUACCUCUCCUCACUCAAGAACCCAUUGCCCUAACUGUCUCUCUAUUUCCAACUGCCUACCAACUGCUUCUCCAACUGCCUUUCCCAACCAGCCAAACCACUAAAACCAACCAACUACCCACCAACAACUCCCAACAACAACUAACUCAAACCUUGGGCUAAGCCCUUUUAUACACAGGCAAAACAUUUAUCCCGAGGUUUGCAGCUAUUCUCAUAAAAUGAGCAUCUAACAUUUCAUUCAGCUAUGCAAACGAAGAAGGGAUGAAUAAACAUUGCAUAUGAAUGCAAAAGAUACUUUGCAUUAUCACAUUAGACAUGGAGGAGGCAUAAAACGUUCCCAUAAUUA